rnacentral:rRNA from 1 species
UUUCGCAAUGCCCGAAAGGGUGACGAAGCGACGCCGCGUGGGUGAGGAGGGCCCUCGGGUUGUAAAGCCCUGUCAGGAGUUAAGAAAUGUAAGUGCGCUAAUAUCGCAUUUAUUUGACGAAGGCUCCAAAGGAAGCCACGGCUAACUCUGUGCCAGCAGCCGCGGUAAUACAGAGGUGGCAAGCGUUGUUCGGAAUUAUUGGGCGUAAAGAGCACGUAGGUGGGUUUGUAAGUCAGAUGUGAAAGCCUUCUGUUCAACGGAAGAAUUGCAUCUGAAACUACGAGUCUUGAGUGUAGGAGGGGAGAAUGGAACUUCUGGUGGAGCGGUGAAAUGCGUAGAUAUCAGAAGGAACGCCGGUGGCGAAAGCGGCACUCUGGCCUGUAACUGACGCUGAGGCGCGAAAGCUAGGGGAGCGAACGGGAUUAGAUACCCCGGUAGUCCUAGCCCUAAACGAUGGGCACUAAGUAGAGGGGUUUU